UAGGGAAUCUUCCACAAUGGGCGAAAGCCUGAUGGAGCAACGCCGCGUGUGUGAUGAAGGGUUUCGGCUCGUAAAACACUGUUGUAAGAGAAGAAUGACAUUGAGAGUAACUGUUCAAUGUGUGACGGUAUCUUACCAGAAAGGAACGGCUAAAUACGUGCCAGCAGCCGCGGUAAUACGUACGUG
rnacentral:rRNA from 1 species